rnacentral:lncRNA from 1 species
UCAACCUUAAGCACUACAAAAUUAAAAUUGAUCCCCAAAAUGGCUAGGUAAGAUAAGAUGUUUGGGAGGCUCCCUGUUACCUAUGGUAAUGGUUCUAAUUAAAUAACUACCAUCUAUGUUAUUACCUUAGAUACCAAAUUGGUCCACCAAUUAGAGAUUGAGUUAGCUUUGGUUUCCUACUAUGAAUUGCAAUCGCAAUCAUUUCCAUUUGAGUUCAUGAUACACCCU